ACUCCUACGGGAGGCAGCAGUGGGAAUAUUGGACAAUGGGGCAACCCUGAUCCAGCCAUGCCGCGUGUGCGAUGAAGGCCUUCGGGUUGUAAAGCACUUUCAGUCGGGAGGAAAGGCGUAACGCUAAUAUNGUUGCGAGUUGACGUUACCGACAGAAGAAGCACCGGCAACUCCGUGCCAGCAGCCGCGGUAAUACGGAGGGUGCAAGCGUUAAUCGGAA
rnacentral:rRNA from 1 species